AGCAGCCGCGGUAAUUCCAGCUCCAAUAGCGUAUAUUAAAGUCGCUGCGGUUAAAAAGCUCGUAGUUGAAUUUCGGGACUGAUAUGUCGGUCGUGCCUCGGUACGUACUGAUAUUUUUGGUCUCUCCCUUCUGACGAACCUUGAUGUUAUUAAUUUGGUGUCUUGGGAAAUCAGGACUGUUACUUUGAAAAAUUAGAGUGUUUAAAGCAGGCUCACGCUUGAAUACAUUAGCAUGGAAUAAUGAAAUAGGACGUUUGAUUCUAUUUUGUUGGUUUCUAGGAUCGACGUAAUGAUUAAUAGGGAUAGUUGGGGGCAUUAGUAUUCAAUUGUCAGAGGUGAAAUUCUUGGAUUUAUUGAAGACUAACUACUGCGAAAGCAUUUGCCAAGGAUGUUUUCAUUAAUCAAGAACGAAAGUUAGGGGAUCGAAGACGAUCAGAUACCGUCGUAGUCUUAACCAUAAACUAUGCCGACUAGGGAUCGGAUGAUGUUAAUUUUUAAUGACUCAUUCGGCGCCUUACG
rnacentral:rRNA from 1 species